CAUGUGGUUUAAUUCGAUACGCGAGGAACCUUACCUAGGCUAGAAUGUGAGUGAAUAUAUCGGAAACGGUAUAGUCCUUCGGGACACGAAACAAGGUGCUGCAUGGUUGUCGUCAGCUCGUGCCGUGAGGUGUUGGGUUAAGUCCCGCAACGAGCGCAACCCCUAUUUUCAGUUGCCAACUGACAGCGAUGUCAAGGGACUCUGGAGAGACUGCCUACGUAAGUAGAGAGGAAGGCGGGGAUGACGUCAAAUCAUCAUGGCCUUUAUGCCUAGGGCGACACACGUGCUACAAUGGCCGGUACAGAGGGUUGCGAGACAGUGAUGUUAAGCCAAUCCCAAAAAGCCGGUCCCAGUUCGGAUUGGAGUCUGGAACUCGACUCCAUGAAGGUGGAAUCGCUAGUAAUCGCGCAUCAGCCAUGGCGCGGUGAAUACGUUCCCGGACCUUGUACACACC
rnacentral:rRNA from 1 species